rnacentral:snoRNA from 1 species
CCCCUCUCAAGGUUGCACCUGGAGAGUUUCCAGUACUCUACCAGUCAUGACUGCGGGAGGAAAAGUCAAGCAGAGGCCUACCCAUUCCAUUGCUAGGUUGGGCAGUGGCUAGCGAGUGGAAGGCCAUCUGCUACAGGU